rnacentral:rRNA from 1 species
GACGAACGCUGGCGGCGUGCUUAACACAUGCAAGUCGAACGGAAAGGCCCUGCUUUUGUGGGGUGCUCGAGUGGCGAACGGGUGAGUAACGCGUGAGUAACCUGCCCUUGACUUUGGGAUAACUUCAGGAAACUGGGGCUAAUACCGGAUAGGAGCUCCUGCUGCAUGGUGGGGGUUGGAAAGUUUCGGCGGUUGGGGAUGGACUCGCGGCUUAUCAGCUUGUUGGUGGGGUAGUGGCUUACCAAGGCUUUGACGGGUAGCCGGCCUGAGAGGGUGACCGGCCACAUUGGGACUGAGAUACGGCCCAGACUCCUACGGGAGGCAGCAGUGGGGAAUAUUGCACAAUGGGCGGAAGCCUGAUGCAGCAACGCCGCGUGCGGGAUGACGGCCUUCGGGUUGUAAACCGCUUUCGCCUGUGACGAAGCGUUAGUGACGGUAAUGGGUAAAGAAGCACCGGCUAACUACGUG